CCUACGGGGGGCAGCAGUGGGGAAUAUUGGACAAUGGGCGAAAGCCUGAUCCAGCCAUGCCGCGUGUGUGAAGAAGGCCUUCGGGUUGUAAAGCACUUUCAGUGGGGAAGAAAGCCUUGGGGCUAAUACCCUCGAGGAAGGACAUCACCCACAGAAGAAGCACCGGCUAACUCCGUGCCAGCAGCCGCGGUAAUACGGAGGGUGCGAGCGUUAAUCGGAAUUACUGGGCGUAAAGCGCGCGUAGGCGGUCUGAUAAGCCGGUUGUGAAAGCCCCGGGCUCAACCUGGGAACGGCAUCCGGAACUGUCAGGCUAGAGUGCAGGAGAGGAAGGUAGAAUUCCCGGUGUAGCGGUGAAAUGCGUAGAGAUCGGGAGGAAUACCAGAGGCGAAGGCGGCCUUCUGGACUGACACUGACGCUGAGGUGCGAAAGCGUGGGUAGCAAACAGGAUUAGAUACCCUGGUAGUC
rnacentral:rRNA from 1 species